rnacentral:rRNA from 1 species
AAUAUUGCACAAUGGGCGCAAGCCUGAUGCAGCCAUGCCGCGUGUAUGAAGUAAGGCCUUCGGGUUGUAAAGUACUUUCAGCAGUGAGGAAGGUGGAUAUGUUAAUAGCAUAUUCAUUUGACGUUAGCUGCAGAAGAAGCACCGGCUAACUCCGUGCCAGCAGCCGCGGUAAUACGGAGGGUGCGAGCGUUAAUCGGAAUUACUGGGCGUAAAGCGCAUGCAGGUGGUUUGUUAAGUCAGAUGUGAAAGCCCGGGGCUCAACCUCGGAAUUGCAUUUGAAACUGGCAAACUAGAGUACUGUAGAGGGGGUAGAAUUUCAGGUGUAGCGGUGAAAUGCGUAGAGAUCUGAAGGAAUAUCGGUGGCGAAGGCGGCCCCCUGGACAGAUACUGACACUCAGAUGCGAAAGCGUGGGGAGCAAACAGGAUUAGAUACCCUGGUAG